UCUAUGGAGAGUUUGAUCCUGGCUCAGGACGAACGCUGGCGGCGUGCCUAAUACAUGCAAGUCGAGCGGACG
rnacentral:rRNA from 1 species